rnacentral:rRNA from 1 species
UACAGAGGUGCCAAGCGUUAGGCGGAAUUACUGGGCGUAAAGCGUGCGCAGGCGGUUCGUUGUGUCGGCGGUGAAAGCCCCGGGCUUAACCUGGGAAUGGCCGUUGAAACUGGCGAACUGGAGUGUGGCAGAGGGGGGUGGAAUUCCGCGUGGUAGCAGUGAAAUGCGUAGAGAAUGCGGAGGAACACCGAUGGCGAAGGCAGCCCCCUGGGCUGAACACUGACGCCUCGAGGCACGAAAG